rnacentral:rRNA from 1 species
UACGUAGGAUGCAAGCGUUUGUCCGGGAUUUACUGGCGUAAAGGGCGCGCAGGCGGCACUACAAGUACUGGGUGAAAUCUCCUUGCUCAACGGGGAGGGUGCUUAGUAGACUGUAGAGCUAGAGGUGGGUAGAGGGUGGUGGAAUUGCUGGUGUAGCGGUGAAAUGCGCAGAUAUCGGGAGGAACACCAAUUGCGAAGGCAGCUCGCUGGGACGUCACUGACGCUGAGACGCGAAAGCGUGGG